rnacentral:rRNA from 1 species
UGCUUCGUGAAUACAUACUAAGUAAUUUCCUGCCCAGUGAAUAUUAAACGGCCGCGGUACCCUAACCGUGCAAAGGUAGCAUAAUAAUUUGUCCAUUAAUUGUGGACUAGAAUGAACGGAGAAACAAAAUAAGUACUGUUUCAAUGAGAAUACUAAAAACUAUUAUUAAAGUGAAGAAACUUUAAUGCAGUAAAAGGACAAGAAGACCCUAUAGAGCUUUAUUUUAAAUGUUUAAAAAACACACUAAAUUCGGUUGGGGCGACCCAGGAAAAAUCAUCCUUAAAAUUUUAGACAAACCAGUCCAAAUGACCCUUUAAAAAGAUCAACGAACCAAGCUACCUUAGGGAUAACAGGCUAAUCCUAUUAUAGAGCUCCUAUCGAUAAUAGGGAUUGGCACCUCGAUGUUGGCUUAGAAUAUCUUUACGACGCAGAAGUCAUAAUAAGAAGGUUUGUUCAACCUAUAACAUUCU